rnacentral:rRNA from 1 species
UACGUAGGGGGCAAGCGUUGUCCGGAUUUAUUGGGCGUAAAGAGCGUGUAGGCGGCCUGACAGGUCUGCUGUGAAAACUCGAGGCUCAACCUCGAGAUGUCGGCGGAAACCGUCUGGCUAGAGUCCGGAAGAGGAGAGUGGAAUUCCCGGUGUAGCGGUGAAAUGCGCAGAUAUCGGGAGGAACACCGGUGGCGAAGGCGGUUCUCUGGGCCUUACCUGACGCUGAGGAGCGAAAGCGUGGGGAGCGAACAGG